rnacentral:rRNA from 1 species
AAGACCAAGGGUUCCUGUCCAACGUUAAUCGGGGCAGGGUGAGUCGACCCCUAAGGCGAGGCCGAAAGGCGUAGUCGAUGGGAAACAGGUUAAUAUUCCUGUACUUGGUGUUACUGCGAAGGGGGGACGGAGAAGGCUAUGUUGGCCGGGCGACGGUUGUCCCGGUUUAAGCGUGUAGGCUGGUUUUCCAGGCAAAUCCGGAAAAUCAAGGCUGAGGCGUGAUGACGAGGCACUACGGUGCUGAAGC